rnacentral:rRNA from 1 species
UACGAAGGGGGCUAGCGUUGUUCGGAAUUACUGGGCGUAAAGGGCGCGUAGGCGGCCUGUUAAGUCGGACGUGAAAUCCCUCGGCUCAACCGGGGAACUGCGUCCGAUACUGGUUGGCUUGAAUUCGGGAGAGGGAUGCAGAAUUCCAGGUGUAGCGGUGAAAUGCGUAGAUAUCUGGAGGAAUACCGGUGGCGAAGGCGGCAUCCUGGACCGAGAUUGACACUGAGGAGCGAAAGCCAGGGGAGCAAACGGG